AAGAAACUAACAAGGAUUCCCCUAGUAACUGCGAGUGAAGAGGGAAAAGCUCAAAUUUAAAAUCUGGCAGUCUUUGAUUGUCCGAGUUGUAAUUUAGAGAAGUGUUACCCGUGUUGGCCUGUGUACAAGUCUCCUGGAAUGGAGCGUCAUAGAGGGUGAGAAUCCCGUCUUUGACACAGAUCCCAAUGCAUUGUGGUGCGCUCUCAAAGAGUCGAGUUGUUUGGGAAUGCAGCUCUAAAUGGGUGGUAAAUUCCAUCUAAAGCUAAAUAUUGGGGAGAGACCGAUAGCGAACAAGUACCGUGAGGGAAAGAUGAAAAGAACUUUGGAAAGAGAGUUAAACAGUACGUGAAAUUGCUGAAAGGGAAACGCUUGAAGUCAGUCGCGUUUGUCAGGGAUCAGCCUUCCUCUUGGUUGGUGUACUUCCUGAUGAAUGGGUCAACAUCAGUUUUGAUCAGUGGAUAAGAGCUUGAGGAAUGUGGCAUCUCCGGGUGUGUUAUAGCCUCUUGUUGUAUACAUUGAUUGGGACUGAGGAACUCAGCACGCCGCAAGGCCGGGUUUUUAACCACGUUCGUGCUUAGGAUGUUGGCAUAAUGGCUUUAAUCGACCCGUCUUGAAACACGGACCAAGGAGUCUAACAUGCCUGCGAGUGUUUGGGUGGUAAACCCGAGCGCGUAAUGAAAGUGAAAGUUAGGAUCUCUGUCAUGGAGAGCACUGACGCCCGGCCCAGACCUUCUGUGACGGUGCCGCGGUUGAGCAUGUAUGUUGGGACCCGAAAGAUGGUGAACUAUGCCUGAAUAGGGUGAAGCCAGAGGAAACUCUGGUGGAGGCUCGUAGCGAUUCUGAC
rnacentral:rRNA from 1 species